GCGCACGGGUGCGUAACGCGUAUACAAUCUACCUUUUGCUGCGGGAUAGCCUUUGGAAACGAAGAUUAAUACCGCAUAGUAUGAAGGCUUCACAUGAAGCUUUCAUUAAAGGUUACGGCAGAAGAUGAGUAUGCGUCCUAUUAGCUAGAUGGUGUGGUAACGGCACACCAUGGCAACGAUAGGUAGGGGCCCUGAGAGGGGGAUCCCCCACACUGGUACUGAGACACGGACCAGACUCCUACGGGAGGCAGCAGUGAGGAAUAUUGGACAAUGGAGGCAACUCUGAUCCAGCCAUGCCGCGUGCAGGAAGACUGCCCUAUGGGUUGUAAACUGCUUUUAUACGGGAAGAAACACCGCUACGUGUAGCGGCUUGACGGUACCGUAAGAAUAAGGAUCGGCUAACUCCGUGCCAGCAGCCGCGGUAAUACGGAGGAUCCAAGCGUUAUCCGGAAUCAUUGGGUUUAAAGGGUCCGUAGGUGGAUAAUUAAGUCAGAGGUGAAAUCUUGCAGCUCAACUGUAAAAUUGCCUUUGAUACUGGUUAUCUUGAAUUAUUAUGAAGUAGUUAGAAUAUGUAGUGUAGCGGUGAAAUGCAUAGAUAUUACAUAGAAUACCAAUUGCGAAGGCAGAUUACUAAUAAUCAAUUGACACUGAUGGACGAAAGCGUGGGGGAGCGAACAGGAUUAGAUACCCUGGUAGUCCACGCCGUAAACGAUG
rnacentral:rRNA from 1 species